rnacentral:tRNA from 1 species
UGGGGUAUAGCCAAGCGGUAAGGCAACGGACUUUGACUCCGUCAUUCGUUGGUUCGAAUCCAGCUACCCAGCCA